AAGAGACAGCAGUCGCCGCGGUAAUACGAAGGGGGCUAGCGUUGUUCGGAAUUACUGGGCGUAAAGCGCACGUAGGCGGAUAUUUAAGUCAGGGGUGAAAUCCCAGAGCUCAACUCUGGAACUGCCUUUGAUGCUGGGUAUCUUGAGUAUGGAAGAGGUGAGUGGAAUUCCGAGUGUAGAGGUGAAAUUCGUAGAUAUUCGGAGGAACACCAGUGGCGAAGGCGGCUCACUGGUCCAUUACUGACGCUGAGGUGCGAAAGCGUGGGGAGCAAACAGGAUUAGAUACCCCCGUAGUCCCUGUCUCUUAUAC
rnacentral:rRNA from 1 species